GAACGCUGGCGGCGUGCCUAAUACAUGCAAGUCGAACGAAUCUCUUUUAGAGAUGAGUGGCGAACGGGUGAGUAAUACAUAGGUAACCUGCCCCUGUGCGGGGGAUAACAGGAGGAAACUCCUGCUAAUACCGCAUAGCCAUGAGCACCGCAUGGAGCUCAUGCCAAAUAUCCUUUCGGGGAUAGCGCAGGGAUGGACCUAUGGCGCAUUAGCUUGUUGGCGGGGCAACGGCCCACCAAGGCAACGAUGCGUAGCCGGCCUGAGAGGGCGGACGGCCACAUUGGGACUGAGACACGGCCCAGACUCCUACGGGAGGCAGCAGUAGGGAAUUUUCGGCAAUGGGGGAAACCCUGACCGAGCAACGCCGCGUGAGCGAAGAAGGCCUUCGGGUCGUAAAGCUCUGUUGUAAAGGAAGAACGGCGCAUACAGGAAAUGGUAUGCGAGUGACGGUACUUUACCAGAAAGCCACGGCUAACUACGUGCCAGCAGCCGCGGUAAUACGUAGGUGGCGAGCGUUAUCCGGAAUCAUUGGGCGUAAAGAGGGAGCAGGCGGCCGCAAGGGUCUGUGGUGAAAGACCGAAGCUAAACUUCGGUAAGCCAUGGAAACCGGGCGGCUAGAGUGCGGAAGAGGAUCGUGGAAUUCCAUGUGUAGCGGUGAAAUGCGUAGAUAUAUGGAGGAACACCAGUGGCGAAGGCGACGGUCUGGGCCGCAACUGACGCUCAUUCCCGAAAGCGUGGGGAGCAAAUAGGAUUAGAUACCCUAGUAGUCCACGCCGUAAACGAUGGUCACUAAGUGUCGGGGGUCAAACCCCGGUGCUGCAGUCAACGCAAUAAGUGACCCGCCUGAGUAGUACGUUCGCAAGAAUGAAACUCAAAGGAAUUGA
rnacentral:rRNA from 1 species